CAACCCUUAGUAGAGCGGCGCACGGGUGCGUAACACGUGGAUAAUCUGCCUGGAUGCCUGGGAUAACCAGUCGAAAGAUUGGCUAAUACCGGAUAAGCCCACGGUUUCUUCGGAGACUGAGGGAAAAGGUGGCCUCUGUAUACAAGCUAUCACAACCAGAUGAGUCCGCGGCCCAUCAGCUAGUUGGCGGGGUAAUGGCCCACCAAGGCAACGACGGGUAGCUGGUCUGAGAGGACGAUCAGCCACACUGGAACUGAGACACGGUCCAGACUCCUACGGGAGGCAGCAGUGGGGAAUUUUGCGCAAUGGGCGAAAGCCUGACGCAGCAACGCCGCGUGUGUGAUGAAGGUCUUUGGAUUGUAAAGCACUUUCGACCGGGACGAAACCGUAAAGCCUAAUACGCUUUGCCUUGACGGUACCGGGAGAAGAAGCACCGGCUAACUCUGUGCCAGCAGCCGCGGUAAUACANAGGGUGCAAGCGUUGUUCGGAAUUAUUGGGCGUAAAGCGCGUGUAGGCGGCUUUGCAAGUCGGGUGUGAAAGCCCUCAGCUCAACUGAGGAAGUGCGCCCGAAACUGCAGAGCUUGAGUGCCGGAGAGGGUGGCGGAAUUCCCCAAGUAGAGGUGAAAUUCGUAGAUAUGGGGAGGAACACCGGUGGCGAAGGCGGCCACCUGGACGGUAACUGACGCUGAGACGCGAAAGCGUGGGUAGCAAACAGGAUUAGAUACCCUGGUAGUCCACGCCGUAAACGAUGAGAACUAGGUGUCGUGGGAGUUGANCCCCGCGGUGCCGUAGCUAACGCAUUAAGUUCUCCGCCUGGGAAGUACGGUCGCAAGACUAAAACUCNAAGGAAUUGACGGGGGCCCGCACAAGCGGUGGAGCAUGUGGUUUAAUUCGACGCANGCGCANNANCNUUACCUGGUCUUGACAUCCUNGGAAUCCUUCAGAGAUNAGGGAGUGCC
rnacentral:rRNA from 1 species